UACGAAGGGGGCUAGCGUUGUUCGGAUUUACUGGGCGUAAAGCGCACGUAGGCGGAUUGUUAAGUCGGGGGUGAAGUCCUGGAGCUCAACUUCAGAAUUGCCUUCGAUACUGGCUUUCUAGAGGCUGGAAGAGGUUAGUGGAAUUCCCAGUGUAGAGGUGAAAUUCGUAGAUAUUGGGAAGAACACCAGUGGCGAAGGCGGCUAACUGGUCCAGAUCUGACGCUGAGGUGCGAAAGCGUGGGGAGCAAACAGG
rnacentral:rRNA from 1 species